UACGGAGGGUGCGAGCGUUAAUCGGAAUCACUGGGCGUAAAGCGCGCGUAGGUGGUUUAGUAAGUCAGAUGUGAAAGCCCCGGGCUUAACCUGGGAACUGCAUUUGAAACUGCUUGACUAGAGUUUGGUAGAGGGAAGUGGAAUUCCGAGUGUAGCGGUGAAAUGCGUAGAGAUUCGGAGGAACACCAAUGGCGAAGGCAACUUCCUGGACCAAAACUGACACUGAGGUGCGAAAGCGUGGGUAGCAAACAGG
rnacentral:rRNA from 1 species